rnacentral:lncRNA from 1 species
UAAGAUCCUUCCAAAUCGGUGCGCUACUGCAGCCUUAUCUUCUCAGAAACACUGCUGGCUUCGAACUCAUGGUACGAUCACAUCAAAGUCCAGUCACCUCCAAGCUUGCCACUAGGAUCAUACCAAGAAGAUACUCUUUAGAUAUCUCAUAAUCUAGGAUUUGAUUUUUGGCUCCAACAUAUGAAAAAAUCAAACCCUAGGGCAC